CCUACGGGUGGCAGCAGUGAGGAAUAUUGGUCAAUGGGCGCGAGCCUGAACCAGCCAAGUCGCGUGAGGGAUGACGGUCCUACGGAUUGUAAACCUCUUUUGCCGGGGAGCAAGCGUGCGUUCGUGAACGCGCGUCGAGAGUACCCGGAGAAAAAGCAUCGGCUAACUCCGUGCCAGCAGCCGCGGUAAUACGGAGGAUGCGAGCGUUAUCCGGAGUUAUUUGGUUUAAAGGGUGCGUAGGCGGGAGGCCAAGUCAGCGGUAAGAAUGCGGUGCUCAACGCCGUCGAGCCAUUGACACUGGCGUUCGUGAGGGGGCGAGAAGUAUGCGGAAUGCGGGGGGUAGCGGUGAAAUGCAUAGAUAUCACGGAGAAAUCCGAUUGCGAAGGCAGCAGACCGGCGCCCUACUGACGCUGAGGCACGAAAGCGUGGGUAUCGAACAGGAUUAGAUACCCCUGUAGUC
rnacentral:rRNA from 1 species